rnacentral:rRNA from 1 species
UUAAAUUGAAGAGUUUGAUCAUGGCUCAGAUUGAACGCUGGCGGCAGGCCUAACACAUGCAAGUCGAACGGUAACAGGAAGCAGCUUGCUGCUUCGCUGACGAGUGGCGGACGGGUGAGUAAUGUCUGGGAAACUGCCUGAUGGAGGGGGAUAACUACUGGAAACGGUGGCUAAUACCGCAUAACGUCGCAAGACCAAAGAGGGGGACCUUCGGGCCUCUUGCCAUCAGAUGUGCCCAGAUGGGAUUAGCUUGUUGGUGAGGUAACGGCUCACCAAGGCGACGAUCCCUAGCUGGUCUGAGAGGAUGACCAGCCACACUGGAACUGAGACACGGUCCAGACUCCUACGGGAGGCAGCAGUGGGGAAUAUUGCACAAUGGGCGCAAGCCUGAUGCAGCCAUGCCGCGUGUAUGAAGAAGGCCUUCGGGUUGUAAAGUACUUUCAGCGGGGAGGAAGGUGUUGUGGUUAAUAACCGCAGCAAUUGACGUUACCCGCAGAAGAAGCACCGGCUAACUCCGUGCCAGCAGCCGCGGUAAUACGGAGGGUGCAAGCGUUAAUCGGAAUUACUGGGCGUAAAGCGCACGCAGGCGGUCUGUCAAGUCGGAUGUGAAAUCCCCGGGCUCAACCUGGGAACUGCAUUCGAAACUGGCAGGCUUGAGUCUUGUAGAGGGGGGUAGAAUUCCAGGUGUAGCGGUGAAAUGCGUAGAGAUCUGGAGGAAUACCGGUGGCGAAGGCGGCCCCCUGGACAAAGACUGACGCUCAGGUGCGAAAGCGUGGGGAGCAAACAGGAUUAGAUACCCUGGUAGUCCACGCCGUAAACGAUGUCUACUUGGAGGUUGUGCCCUUGAGGCGUGGCUUCCGGAGCUAACGCGUUAAGUAGACCGCCUGGGGAGUACGGCCGCAAGGUUAAAACUCAAAUGAAUUGACGGGGGCCCGCACAAGCGGUGGAGCAUGUGGUUUAAUUCGAUGCAACGCGAAGAACCUUACCUGGUCUUGACAUCCACAGAACUUUCCAGAGAUGGACUGGUGCCUUCGGGAACUGUGAGACAGGUGCUGCAUGGCUGUCGUCAGCUCGUGUUGUGAAAUGUUGGGUUAAGUCCCGCAACGAGCGCAACCCUUAUCCUUUGUUGCCAGCGGUUAGGCCGGGAACUCAAAGGAGACUGCCAGUGAUAAACUGGAGGAAGGUGGGGAUGACGUCAAGUCAUCAUGGCCCUUACGACCAGGGCUACACACGUGCUACAAUGGCGCAUACAAAGAGAAGCGACCUCGCGAGAGCAAGCGGACCUCAUAAAGUGCGUCGUAGUCCGGAUUGGAGUCUGCAACUCGACUCCAUGAAGUCGGAAUCGCUAGUAAUCGUGGAUCAGAAUGCCACGGUGAAUACGUUCCCGGGCCUUGUACACACCGCCCGUCACACCAUGGGAGUGGGUUGCAAAAGAAGUAGGUAGCUUAACCUUCGGGAGGGCGCUUACCACUUUGUGAUUCAUGACUGGGGUGAAGUCGUAACAAGGUAACCGUAGGGGAACCUGCGGUUGGAUCACCUCCUUACCUUAAAGAA